CAUGGAGACCAUCGGACGUUUGCUAAGUACAGUAACGACGCCGACGGAUGUACAUCUAACCUUAAGGGCCGAGUUGUGGGCUGACCCCAUGGUCAAGAUCUUGUCAUGCUGGAUCCCCAUCGCGCUGGCAAGCUUCGUGGUUGGAGGGAAUAUCCUCAAAGAAGCCAGUCUAGAAUGCUUCCCUGUGCACCUUGUGAGCGCUGUAACUGUAUCUGCAAAUGCAGAUAACGUCAACGGAUCGUCAGCUGUGGCCUUCGUGGACCCAAGGAUGUACUCGACACAACUUGAUGACUUUGUCAAUGUUAAAUGUGGAAAACAGACAAGCUUCGAUUACUUAGUAUUUACCAUGAUGUUAGUGGCACAGUCUGUUUUUAUGUUCGCACCACAUCAGGUCUGGGACAUAACAAGAGGCAGGGAGGUUAUUUGUAAACUUAAAUUCAUUCGACAAUAUAUUGAGGGUCUUUAUGAGACUCUGAAACCAGAUGCAUCCCAAGACCCUAAAACUCAAACCAAAUAUAUCCCAAAACCUGCUGACCAAAAACAGUUAAAAAGAUUUGUUGAAAAGUUGGUCGACAGCAAUAAGAUAUACCAUCGUUACUUGGCUAAGCAGUUAUCCACUGCAAUCUUGAUUGUGGUUUUCAUUUUGUUUUUUUUACGUUGUUCCUCAUGGCUCUCUGUAUAGCAUUGAGGAUAACUUUAAAUGUGAAGUGAGUGAGGAAUUCACUGUAGACUGCAUUGUGUCUUUUGCUUCUCUGUACCGCAUUGCAUGGUGGACAAAUCUUGUCUCGCUCGUCGUUUCUGGUCUCACGAUAAUUAUUCACAUGUUCUAUCUCCACUGUCGCCUUGACGAUAAGCCAUUCAAGGACAUAGGUAUCGAAUUGGUAAAAAGAACAGGCAACAAUGCUGGCUGUGAUGGCAGCCGUUCUGAACAAGUAGUAGUAGAACAGGAACAAAAACCACUAAAUGAUUCUGAACAGGAACCAGUAAGUAAAUGCCAUCGCCAUUUUCCGGAAAUCGAGGAAGUAACCGAUUGCCAUCUCAUGCAUGCUUUCCUGAAAGCAAACAUUGAUUCCAUUGAAAAAUACCAUUACGUAGUUAUAGUUCUUGAAGAUUUAGAAGCCCAAUCCAAAUGCCCUGGGGCUUGAAUGGCUUAAAGGGGAGUUCUCAUGAUCUGUGACCUUAUAGACUUAAGAAUUCUUAGACUUAUGCAAGACAUAUUACUAAGUAUUACAUCACAAGCAGCAUGGGUAGGCAAGACUGUAUAUGUUUUUAAAAGGUCCUGAGAACAAGUGAUCUAUUUCGUAUAGCAUAGACGGUAUAACAGAAAGCUGCCAAUAGUAUUACUUAUCUUGGAUUUAAGGGUAGAAAGCAUGUAAUCUUAUUAUUACCGAUAACAUGUAUCUUACCAUUUUACUGCUUAAUGUGUGUAUCAAGUUCUUAGGUCAAUCAUGAUUAUUAGUAGUACAUAAUUAUUGCUACUCACCUUAUCAAUAACAUACAUGUAAUGCUAAUAAUGAACACUUACUGAAGUCACACCAAUUCACGUAGAUUUUCAACCCCUUUACUGAGUAAAAAUGUUGAAGCAAUUUUUUAUUAUGGGUGAGUGCAUGUUUGGUGGAGGUAAAUAUAUUAUAUAUAUCUGGUAAUGCCUGUACAGCUUCAAUUUCCCCUGCACUAACCUGCAUAUGGAGGUAGUAUUGUCGUAGAUUUAAUUAAGAGUAGAAAGAUUGUACAUAUAGCAUGUUGUGUUGUGAUUUUUUUACUAUGUUUUAUUGUAUUGAAUAUUUUCCAGUCAUACAACACCAAAAUUUGUCAGGCACUUAUGAUUCGUUACUCGAAUCACGUGUCUCUAAGUCACGUGAUCAGAGUAACUGAAUGGUCACUCCUGAAGAAGGUUGACAGAAGUGCGACUGAAAAUUCGAGGUAAGAAAAUUUGGGUGUUGGAAGACAGUGGAAAAUCUUCAAUAUGGAUUGCAUCAACACAGAUUAGAUUUCAUAAGUCAAAAUUCAUGCUAUUGUGUUUGUUUUUGUAAUAGUUUUGAGGUAGUGUGGCAAUAUAAAGAGUAUGCAAAACAAAGGGAGAACCAGACAAUAUAUGUAUGCAUUCUGUAUGAAUUGUUCAGCAUGUGGUAUCAGCCAUGGAAUAUAAGUCCAAUGAAGGGUUUAAGGUAUCUGAAUAAAAAAUAUGACAAAAAGAGUGAAGUUGUACCGUCUGUCUUUUUAUUUGUCAAAACUUCUAGCUUUAGAAGAUAUACUUAUGUGAAGCUCACUGUUUGACAAAUUUUCAGUUGUCCUUUUCCACUGAUGUAUUUUGAAAUUAAGUGUACACGUAGCAAUUAUGAUAGUAACAAAAAGA